AUUGAACGCUGGCGGCAGGCUUAACACAUGCAAGUCGAGCGGUAACAGAGAGAAGCUUGCUUCUCUGCUGACGAGCGGCGGACGGGUGAGUAAUGCCUAGGAAUCUGCCUAGUAGUGGGGGAUAACUUGCCGAAAGGUAAGCUAAUACCGCAUACGUCCUACGGGAGAAAGGAGGGGACCUUCGGGCCUUUCGCUAUUAGAUGAGCCUAGGUCGGAUUAGUUAGUUGGUGAGGUAAUGGCUCACCAAGACCGCGAUCCGUAACUGGUCUGAGAGGAUGAUCAGUCACACUGGAACUGAGACACGGUCCAGACUCCUACGGGAGGCAGCAGUGGGGAAUAUUGGACAAUGGGGGGAACCCUGAUCCAGCCAUGCCGCGUGUGUGAAGAAGGUCUUAGGACUGUAAAGCACUUUAAGUUGGGAGGAAGAGCAGUUAACUAAUAUUUGACUGUUUUGACGUUACCGACAGAAUAAGCACCGGCUAACUUCGUGCCAGCAGCCGCAGUAA
rnacentral:rRNA from 1 species